CGUGUAGGCGGUUGGUUAAGUCGGAUGUGAAAGCCUAGGGCUCAGCCCCAGAAGUGCAUCCGAAACUAUCCAGCUAGAGCGCGAUAGAGGAGGGUGGAAUUCCUGGUGUAGCGGUGAAAUGCGUAGAUAUCAGGAGGAACACCGGCGGCGAAGGCGGCCCUCUGGAUCGUUGCUGACGCUGAGACGCGAAAGCGUGGGGAGCAAACAGGAUUAGAUACCCUGGUAGUCCACGCCUUAAACGAUGGGUACUAGGUGUUCGGGGUGUUGACCCCCUGAGUGCCGCAGUUAACGCAUUAAGUACCCCGCCUGGGGACUACGGCCGCAAGGUUAAA
rnacentral:rRNA from 1 species